GCCGAAGUGGCGGAACAGGCAGACGCGAUGGUCUCAAAAACCAUUGAGAGGCAACUCUCAUGUCGGUUCGAUCCCGACCUUCGGCA
rnacentral:tRNA from 1 species